rnacentral:rRNA from 1 species
UACGGAAGGCAGCAGUGGGGAAUAUUGCACAAUGGGCGCAAGCCUGAUGCAGCCAUGCCGCGUGUAUGAAGAAGGCCUUCGGGUUGUAAAGUACUUUCAGUCGUGAGGAAGGUGUUAAGGUUAAUAACCUUAGCAAUUGACGUUAGCGACAGAAGAAGCACCGGCUAACUCCGUGCCAGCAGCCGCGGUAAUACGGAGGGUGCGAGCGUUAAUCGGAAUUACUGGGCGUAAAGGGCACGCAGGCGGUUAAUUAAGUUGGAUGUGAAAUCCCCGGGCUUAACCUGGGAAUGGCAUUCAAGACUGGCUAGCUAGAGUCUUGUAGAGGGGGUAGAAUUCCAUGUGUAGCGGUGAAAUGCGUAGAGAUGUGGAGGAAUACCGGUGGCGAAGGCGGCCCUGGGACAAAGACUGACGCUCAUGUGCGAAAGCGUGGGGAGCAAACAGGAUUAGAUACC